rnacentral:rRNA from 1 species
GGGCAACCAUGAGUACAGUGGCGUACGGGUGAGUAACACGUGGGUAAUCUACCUCUUAGUGGGGAAUAACCCUGGGAAACCGGGGCUAAUACCGCAUAAGCUCGGGAGAGGAAAGUCGCAAGACGCUGAGAGAGGAGCCCGCGGCCGAUUAGCUAGUUGGCAGGGUAAGAGCCUACCAAGGCAGAGAUCGGUAGCCGGCCUGAGAGGGCACACGGCCACACUGGCACUGAAACACGGGCCAGACUCCUACGGGAGGCAGCAGUGGGGAAUCUUGCACAAUGGGGGAAACCCUGAUGCAGCGACGCCGCGUGAGCGAUGAAGCCCUUCGGGGCGUAAAGCUCUUUCGGCAGGGAAGAUGAUGACGGUACCUGCAGAAGCAGCUGCGGCUAACUACGUGCCAGCAGCCGCGGUAAUACGUAGGCAGCGAGCGUUGUUCGGAGUUACUGGGCGUAAAGGGUGUGUAGGCGGUCCCUUAAGUUUGGUGUGAAAUCUCCCGGCUUAACCGGGAGGGUGCGCCGAAUACUGAGGGGCUUGGAGUGCGGGAGAGGAAAGUGGAAUUCCUGGUGUAGCGGUGAAAUGCGUAGAUAUCAGGAGGAACACCGGUGGUGUAGACGGCUUUCUGGACCGUAACUGACGCUGAGACACGAAAGCGUGGGUAGCAAACAGGAUUAGAUACCCUGGUAGUCCACGCCCUAAACGAUGCAUAUUUGGUGUGGGUCAUUCAGUUGAUCCGUGCCCGGAGCUACGCGUUAAAUAUGCCGCCCUGGGGAGUACAGU